rnacentral:rRNA from 1 species
GACGAACGCUGGCGGUGUGCCUAAUACAUGCAAGUAGAACGCACAGUUUAUACCGUAGCUUGCUACACCAUAGACUGUGAGUUGCGAACGGGUGAGUAACGCGUAGGUAACCUGCCUGGUAGCGGGGGAUAACUAUUGGAAACGAUAGCUAAUACCGCAUAAUAUUGAUUAUUGCAUGAUAAUUGAUUGAAAGAUGCUAUUGCAUCACUACCAGAUGGACCUGCGUUGUAUUAGCUAGUAGGUGAGGUAACGGCUCACCUAGGCGACGAUACAUAGCCGACCUGAGAGGGUGAUCGGCCACACUGGGACUGAGACACGGCCCAGACUCCUACGGGAGGCAGCAGUAGGGAAUCUUCGGCAAUGGACGAAAGUCUGACCGAGCAACGCCGCGUGAGUGAAGAAGGGUUUCGGAUCGUAAAGCUCUGUUGUAAGAGAAGAACGGGUGUGAGAGUGGAAAGUUCACACUGUGACGGUAGCUUACCAGAAAGGGACGGCUAACUACGUG